CCUACGGGAGGCAGCAGUGGGGAAUAUUGGACAAUGGGGGGAACCCUGAUCCAGCGACGCCGCGUGAGUGAAGAAGUAUUUCGGUAUGUAAAGCUCUAUCAGCUGGGACGAAAGAAAUGACGGUACCUGACUAAGAAGCCCCGGCUAACUACGUGCCAGCAGCCGCGGUAAUACGUAGGGGGCAAGCGUUAUCCGGAUUUACUGGGUGUAAAGGGAGCGUAGACGGCGAUGCAAGUCUGAAGUGAAAGGCGGGGGCCCAACCCCCGGACUGCUUGGGAAACUGUAUGGCUGGAGUGCAGGAGAGGUAAGUGGAAUUCCUAGUGUAGCGGUGAAGUGCGUAGAGAUUAGGAGGAACACCAGUGGCGAAGGCGGCUUACUGGACUGUAACUGACGUUGAGGCUCGAAAGCGUGGGGAGCAAACAGGAUUAGAUACCCUUGUAGUC
rnacentral:rRNA from 1 species